AGGUCUGGUCCGAGUCAAGCAGUUUUAAAGGUGGACAAACUACCCGUUGGAAACCCAGCGAACCGACGGGUUUGUAGCCCAACCGUCGACCCGUUUGCAAUUGAACCAACCGGGUUAUUUCUUUUACUUUAAAACCCUGUUUUCCAAAUCCCCAAUUCACGUUAACCAGGAAAGUUGUAUUCUUCAUUCCAAAAUCCGACUGCUUCGCUACCGUCUGCAGCUUAAGUCUUAAGAGAUGGAAGAAAAAGAGAUGAAUUACAUUUUGAUGAUCUUGAUUGUGAUGGAAAUGAUACAAACGAUGGAAAUGAGGAUUUUAGUAUGACCGAGACUCCGUCAUUGGUACAAGGCGAAGGAAUUGAAGAAUUUAUGUCCGAAACUCCAGCAUGGAUACGCUCUAACUCUUCUUAAUUGAGAAAAUUUUAACUUACUUCAAAUAAUUUACUUUGUUAUCAUGUUCUUUAGCCACGUUUAACUUUUAGUUCAUGGUUUUAUUUUUGCAAAAGUACUCUUAAAGUAUAUGAAGCUACCUUGUUGAACCUUGCAUAUGAAGUAGUUUUUUUUUUA